rnacentral:lncRNA from 10 species
AAGAAAAUCCUACAUACUAUGUGAUUCCAACUAUAUGACAUUCUGGGAAAGGCAAACUAUGGAGAUAGUAGAAGGAUCGGUGGUUGCCAGGAGUUAGAGAGGAGGGAGGGGGUGACUAGGCAGAGCAUAGAGGAUUCUUAGGGCAGUGAAACUACUCUAUAUGAUACUAUAAUGGUGGAUACAAGUCAUUACGCAUUUGUCAAAACCCAUAGAAUGCACAACAUCAAGAGUAAACCCUAAUGUACACUAUGAACCUUGGGUGAUGAUAUAUGUCAAUGCAGGUCUCAUCAUUUGUAACAAAUACAGCGCUCUGGUGAGAGAUGUUGAUAAAGGGGGAGACUAUGCAUGUAUUGGAGGAGAGGUACAUGGGAAGUCUCUAUAGCCUCUUCUCAAUUAUGUGAGCCUAAAACUGCUCUUUAAUAAAGUCUAUUUUUAAUGGCAGGACAUGGUGGCUCUUGCCAGUAAUCUCAGCACUUUCAGAGGCCAAGGUGGGAGGAUGGCUUGAGGCCAGGAGUUCAAGACCAGACUGAGCAACAUAGCAAGACCCCAUCCCUGUAGUCUCAGCUACUAGAGAGGAGGAUCACUUGAGCACA